CCGACCCGGAGCUCUCCUUCCCCUCAGCCUUGUCUUUUCCUCUCCUCCUCCUCCGUCCCCACCUCCGAGCAGCUCGACAGAGUCUAUAUCUUGCCCUGCUGCCGACCGGUAUUCCAACCUUUUAUUCAUCUCCAACGUCUCGGUGACCAUCUGCACUCCAAGUACCGGGCAUAUCAUUUCUAUAGAAAGGACAAUAGACCUCUGAAGCUGCAUCCCAAGCUGGAGAAGUUGCUUAAGGAAGAGUUUUGCUCCCUGGACGACUUCAGAGCCAAGUCAAAAGCAACGAAGAUUGUAGUUAUAGUGCUAAUGGUGCUUCCAAAGAUUAGACAGACAGCAGCGAGUCUCCAGCUUUAGCUAAAGCUGUUGCUGCUACUGCUACCAGUUCGUUGAAGAUGGGAUACUGAUGGAAGUUGAGAAGGGUGGGGGUCUCAAUUUUGGACUGUUGUGAUGUUUUUAUCCAAUUCUUUUCUAUAAGUCCUCUGAUGAUGAUGAUGAUGAUUUGAGUUGAAUGGGUGGCUUUGAAUUAUUUUUUUGCUUCGGAGUUGUUGGUUCACCUCGGCUUCAUUGUACAUAAGAAUAAUGAUGGAAUGAAUUAUCAAAAUUGAUAAAUAACAGAUUGGAAUUAAAUCUGUUUCAUUUUUUAA